AUAACAAAUUUUGCAGAUAAUAUAUAAUAAAAAUGACGCUUUUUUUAUUUAAAUAUAACAGUUUAGAAUUGGGAAGCAAAAUCGUUAAAUCUUAAUUUAUUUUGCAUGAAUUAUUAUGCCAUAAUUGCGCGCGUAUUAUAGGAUUAAUGGCGAAAUCAAACAUAAUUGGCAUAUAUGCAAAUUAUUUCCAGCGUUUUGGAAUUUUGCAUAAGAAAUAAAAUCACCAGCGCAGUACCAUGUAUAUUAUCGAAAUGUUAUUUGUGAAUUUAUUGAUUGUUUUGAAAAUUAUUCAAAUUGGAAGUAGAUGUUUGUGAUAAAUUGAUGUAAUGGUAUCGUCUGCGUUAUUCCAACGUGCGGUAUCUCAUCCGCGUUAGUGCAUCCUCAACGAACUUGCGCAGUGCGGUCUCGAAAUCGAUUAGCUCUCGUUAUCGCUGAUUUAUUUAUUUAUCGUCUCCCCAUCGGGUAGCGGCGGCGAGGCUUAACUUGUAAGUCGCGGCGACAAUCAGUUUGUACACACACGACUCUCAUAUUCCCGAUAUCAUUGCUCGAUAUCAUUGCGAGAAACCACAGAAUGUGUACGUUUCCGGAGUUCCGCGAGACGGAGGGAACACGAUAUCAUAAUCUAGGUCUAUACGUAUCUCCGAUUAGUUAGUCAACUAGUUUGUAGCGGACGAUCAUUCACUGCUGUUAGGCGAAGCAUCUCACGCGAUCUUUCAGAUUUUCAGAAUUUCCACCAUGUUUCCAAAUACUCCUCGAUCGUUGCUGUAAAUUUGAGUAGAUAGGGAUUUUUUAAUAAUAAUGUGUUUUAGAUGCGAUGAAUGCUUAAAUCAUGUUUACGUUGAAUCACAAAUACGGUGUCACGGAAACAUUGUUAUACGAAAGAGAUACUUUUUUACGGACCGUGAUUGCCGUUCCUGAGAGUGAGAGAUGGAGAGUGCGAGUCUCUCGGUUGUUAGCGAGGGCAGAGACCAAUAUAAAUCCGCUGUGUAAUAAUACAUGUAAGUAGCUGUAAUGCACGAUAAAAUUAGUGAGUAGUGCGCUCUCAAAGUGUGCGAUUUACGUGUUUCCGAGUGUGAUCAUCCCGCCUUACGUGCGUAAUUUUAAGUUAAGUAAGCCUUUUUCACGCCUGCGAUUUUUCAGCGUUCCUUGUAUGUUAUGCAAACAUUACAUGUGUCUACGUAAAAUGCAUUACUGCGAUCGGCGGCGUGACAAUUGGGGCACUGCGACUGUUACGGAGUGAAUUCAAUGGAAUACGGAAUGCAUCGUAAUUAUUGAAGUUAUAAUUACGAUGGACGAUUGUUUGUACGCAAUACUGCUUGUUUUAUUUGUAGUGAUUUGCGAGAUCUUGAUCAACUAUAACUUUGAUUCUUUGUAAAUUAUAACUCUAGCUACAAUAAAAUAUAAAAUAUGGUCGAUCAAGAUUGGUGAAUAGAAAUUGACAUUUGACAAAAUUUUCACAUGCUUAAUGUUGCGGGCUUAUGAUUUUAGAAUUUUUUAUAAUUAUAUAACUUUUGUCUUUUUGUAACAAUAAUUAAAAUAAUUUUGAAUUGUUUAUAUCAAAAUUGGCUUUCACUCACGUGUUUUGAUUCCACUCUUCACUUCCUAACAGUCGGUUUGAACGGAACAUAUGUUACGUUUUGCGAUUCUUUACUUCUGUUUGAUUUUCAACAAUAGGCGUCCUUAAGGACGUACCUGAUACUGAAAAGGAUCUGCGGAUCUGCACAGCCGAUCUUUCGGCGAGCCGAGAUUAAUAUAUACGGGUCGAUUGUAUGUGUAGAAAUAUAGAGAGAAGUAAAAUGUGAAAUAUUUGCGAUUGAAUUUUGAAUGUGAAUGUAAGCUUAAUGAUAUGAAAAAAAGCAGAUGUGUUUUAAGCAAUUUAUAUGCUAAUUCGAGUUAAUUGUUUACGUAUCCUUGAUAUUUACGAGUGGUUAUAUGAUAAAUGCAAAUAAAUGAAUUAAAUAGUUA
rnacentral:lncRNA from 1 species